AAGAAACACACUGAGGGCAGCGUGAUGUUCCAGUCUCCCUGUCAAACCAUUUGGAGCAGCACCCAGUUCCAUUUUACAUGUUUAAGGCUGGGACUCAAAUUUUGUAAUAUUUGCAGAUUUGUGGCUGUGACAGCUGAUUUCAGGGUGUUCACCAAAUAUGCUGAACUCCUUGGAACAGUCUCUCACUGUUUUUCUAAGAACUUAGCAAAAAGAUAGAGAACUCAAGGUUCUAUACUGACUGUUUGCGAUAGAGGAAAAUACUGUAUAAAGCUGAGUGGUCUUCUGACUCCUCCUGCACCUGCUCAGUGAGUGGGAAAAAGGCUUUUAAAUUGCCUGAAAGAGAAAUCAUUUCAUCCUUUAUAUUUUAAGGGUGGGAAGCUGAAAAGAAAAGCUGCAGAGCUGUCCUUAUAAAGCUACAUCCAAGUAUGGAAGGGAGAAGAUGUGGAAGGGGAGUUUCUGCAGUAACAGUAGAGUCACAGAGCUGGGGCACGUCUGGAGAGCCACACAGAGUAGAAACCUCUUGUCUGCAGCAUUACAGUGCCCAUAGAGGUGAAUGUGGCUUUUGAUGACCCACCAACACCUCCUGGUCACACUGCAUGUCACAGAGCAAAGGGAGGAGGGCUGAUGCUUCUUUCCUCACUGGUAGCUACUGUGAGAAAAGAGAAUGAGCAGUUCUGGGAGCUCUGGUGCAGGUCGAGCAUCAUAUCUGUAAGGAUAUUUUCUUGGUCACUGACUUUGGAGUUUAAGGACGUAGAAAGUCUGCCUGAAACUUUGGCCAGGUGUCCAAUGGAGACUCAUCUCCAUGUGCAUUGCCUGGGUUUUCAUUCACAGAAGGAUGCGUGCCUCAGACUUCAAUAGAGAUGCACUUGUGUAUGAACAAACUAUUUCACCAUUGAUGUCACCUCUGUCAGACUGAGUUAAAAUUCAGCAUUCUGUUUGUUGGGAAGUGGAAGAGAAGAUGAUACUCACAAACACAAGAAUGUAAACUUCUGAUAGGAAACCAGACCAAAAUACAGCCUCUUCUAGUUCACUGCAUAAACAGCUGAAAAAAAAUAAAUGUACCUAUUGCAUCACUUUUCUAGAA